rnacentral:rRNA from 1 species
UACGUAGGGUGCAAGCGUUAAUCGGAAUUACUGGGCGUAAGGCGCGCGUAGGCGGCUUUGCAAGUCGGGUGUGAAAUCCCCAGGCUUAACCUGGGAACUGCAUUCGAGACUGCAUUGCUAGAGUAUGGGAGAGGGAAGUGGAAUUUCCGGUGUAGCGGUGAAAUGCGUAGAUAUCGGAAGGAACAUCAGUGGCGAAAGCGACUUCCUGGACCAAUACUGACGCUCAUGUGCGAAAGCGUGGGGAGCAAACAGG